rnacentral:rRNA from 1 species
UACGAAGGGGGCUAGCGUUGCUCGGAAUUACUGGGCGUAAAGCGUACGUAGGCGGUUAUUCAAGUCAGCGGUGAAAGCCCGGAGCUCAACUCCGGAAUAGCCUUUGAAACUAGGUAGCUUGAACGUCGGAGAGGUGAGUGGAAUUCCGAGUGUAGAGGUGAAAUUCGUAGAGAUGCGGAGGAACACCGAUGGCGAAGGCAGCCUCCUGGGAUAACACUGACGCUCAGGCACGAAAGCGUGGGGAGCAAACAGG